CACCCUCCAGACCAUGGGAGAAAGGGUCUGCAAGUGGGGCCGGUGAGACCCAACACACUGGGCUGAGCUAGUGGGACAUCGUCGCCUCCAGGGCCAGGAGGUGGUCGCCGAACAAACCCCUUUUCUACCCUCCUUCGGAGUUUCCCAGAACCUCGAUGAAAUGACGGAAUAUGAGUGUGACUUGGCUGAACCAGGUGUCCUUACCCCUGUGAGGAGCGGUGAGGAGAGGAAGAUUGUCAGCUUGCAAAUAUGCAUUCAUGUCACAAUUGGAGUAAGGAGGCAGAAAUGAAGAAAAUUGAAAUACAAGUAAGUGAACUGAGUCAUUGGAGAGCAUG